rnacentral:rRNA from 1 species
AGUAGGGAAUAUUGCGCAAUGGAGGAAACUCUGACGCAGCGACGCCGCGUGAGCGAUGAAGGCUUUCGGGUCGUAAAGCUCUGUCGGGAGGGACGAAACACGAUUUGGCUAAUAUCCAAGUCGCUUGACGGUACCUCCAGAGGAAGCACCGGCUAACUACGUGCCAGCAGCCGCGGUAAUACGUAGGGUGCUAGCGUUGUUCGGAAUUAUUGGGCGUAAAGAGCGUGUAGGUGGUCUUGUAAGUCGGAUGUGAAAUCCCUGGGCUUAACCGAGGAAGUGCAUCCGAAACUACAUGGCUAGAGGACAGCAGAGGGAAGUGGAAUUCCUAGUGUAGAGGUGAAAUUCGUAGAUAUUAGGAGGAAUACCGGUGGCGAAGGCGGCUUCCUGGACUGUUCCUGACACUGAGACGCGAAAGCGUGGGUAGCAAA